GAUGAACGCUAGCUACAGGCUUAACACAUGCAAGUCGAGGGGCAGCGGUAUCGAAAGCUUGCUUUCGGUAGCCGGCGACCGGCGCACGGGUGAGUAACGCGUAUCGAACCUGCCUCAUACUCGGGAAUAGCCUUGCGAAAGUAAGAUUAAUGCCCGGUGUUUUCAGAGUCCCGCAUGAGGCUUUGAACAAAGAUUUAUCGGUAUGAGAUGGCGAUGCGUCCCAUUAGCUUGUUGGCGGGGUAACGGCCCACCAAGGCAUCGAUGGGUAGGGGUUCUGAGAGGAAGGUCCCCCACAUUGGAACUGAGACACGGUCCAAAAUCCUACUGGAGGCAGCAGUGAGGAAUAUUGGUCAAUGGGCGGAAGCCUGAACCAGCCAAGUAGCGUGAAGGAAGACGGCCCUCCGGGUUGUAAACUGCUUUUAGUUGGGAAUAAAACGGGGCUCGUGAGCCCCCUUGCAUGUACCAUCAGAAAAAGGACCGGCUAAUUCCGUGCCAGCCGCCGCCGUAA
rnacentral:rRNA from 1 species